CCUACGGGGGGCAGCAGUGGGGAAUAUUGCACAAUGGGCGAAAGCCUGAUGCAGCAACGCAGCGUGAAGGAAGACGGUUUUCGGAUUGUAAACUUCUGUUCUUAGUGAAGAAUAAUGACGGUAACUAAGGAGCAAGCCACGGCUAACUAAGUGCCAGCAGCCGCGGUACUACGUAGGUGGCAAGCUUUGUCCGGAAUUACUGGGUGUAACGGGAGCGUAGGCGGGAAGCCAGGUCAUCGGUGAAAUCUACGGGCUUAACCUGUAGACUGCAGUUGAAACGGGAUUGCUUAAGUGAAGUAGGGGGUGGCGGAAUUCUGGGUGUAGCGGGGAAAUGCGUAGAUAUUCGGAGGAACACCGUUGGCGAGGGCGGCCAACGGAGCUUUAACUGACGCUGAGGCUCGAAAGUGUGGGGUGCAAACAGGAUUAGAUACCCUUGUAGU
rnacentral:rRNA from 1 species